rnacentral:pre_miRNA from 1 species
UUCUGGUGCCCUUCAUUCCACCGGAAUCUGUAGGGAUCAAAACCAGAUUUCAGUGAAAUGAAGCCCCUCAGACG